rnacentral:rRNA from 2 species
GUGACCUCAAAUCAGGUAGGACUACCCGCUGAACUUAAGCAUAUCAAUAAGCGGAGGAAAAGAAACUAACAAGGAUUCCCCUAGUAACUGCGAGUGAAGCGGGAAAAGCUCAAAUUUAAAAUCUGUCAGUCUUUGGCUGUCCGAGUUGUAAUCUAGAGAAGUGUUAUCCGCGCUGGACCGUGUACAAGUCUCCUGGAAUGGAGCGUCAUAGAGGGUGAGAAUCCCGUCUUUGACACGGACUGCCAGGGCUUUGUGAUGCGCUCUCAAAGAGUCGAGUUGUUUGGGAAUGCAGCUCAAAAUGGGUGGUAAAUUCCAUCUAAAGCUAAAUAUUGGCGAGAGACCGAUAGCGAACAAGUACCGUGAGGGAAAGAUGAAAAGAACUUUGGAAAGAGAGUUAAACAGUACGUGAAAUUGCUGAAAGGGAAACGCUUGAAGUCAGUCGCGUUGUCCAGGGAUCAACCUUGCUUUUGCUUGGUGUACUUUCUGGUUGACGGGUCAGCAUCAAUUUUGACUGUUGGAAAAAGGUCGAGGGAAUGUGGCAUCUUUAGAUGUGUUAUAGCCCUUGAUUGCAUACAAUGGUUGGGAUUGAGGAACUCAGCACGCCGCAAGGCCGGGUAUUAACCACGUACGUGCUAGAUGC